rnacentral:rRNA from 1 species
UACGAAGGGGGCGAGCGUUGUUCGGAUUUACUGGGCGUAAAGGGCGCGCAGGCGGUCUUGAAAGUCAGGCGUGAAAGCCCCCGGGCUUAACCUGGGAAUUGCGCUUGAUACUCUGAGACUGGAGUACGGGAGAGGAGAGUGGAAUUCCCAGUGUAGAGGUGAAAUUCGUAGAUAUUGGGAAGAACACCAGUGGCGAAGGCGGCUCUCUGGACCGUAACUGACGCUGAGGCGGCGAAAAGCGUGGGGAGCAAACAGG